rnacentral:rRNA from 1 species
UACGAACCGUGCAAACGUUGUUCGGAAUCACUGGGCUUAAAGGGCGCGUAGGCGGGCUCGCAAGUCAGGGGUGAAAGCCUCCAGCUCAACUGGAGAAGUGCCUUUGAUACUGCGGGUCUCGAGGGAGGUAGGGGCGUGCGGAACUUCCGGUGGAGCGGUGAAAUGCGUAGAUAUCGGAAGGAACACCGGUGGCGAAAGCGGCGCGCUGGACCUCUUCUGACGCUGAGGCGCGAAAGCCAGGGGAGCAAACGGG